UUCAUCUUCCUUAGCCGCCACUCUCCCUCCCCCUUUUCUUAUUUCUUUCAUCCACAGUAGUGGGCGUUACUUUAAAUCUGUGCGAAAGACAAAGAGGAGUAAGAAUGUAUUUCCACUGCUUCUCAUUUACGAACAAAAAAAUUAACUUAUUGGUUUGUCUCUUACCAAGGUGGUCAAGAGAAAUGUGCCUUUGAGAAAUUCCAAUCUCUUCUAAUGCCAAACUUAUAUUGAUUAUGGAAAGUGCUUCAUAUAUUCUUGGAUGCAUGAAGAUCAAGGGUGCGAUGAGGGUGGCCAUAUGGAUCAUCAAGCAAAUACUUAUGUUCAUUUAAUGUGAAAUCAUGUACAUUAUUUCUGAUCUCUCUUACAAUCAAGCCUCACAUUGGCUAGUUCUUUUCUACAAAUUUUAAUUAUUGUAGAAGACUUAUCUAUUGCAGAUGCUAUUAAUUGAU